GGCAGACGGGGACGCAGGCGCCCACGCAGGACUCGAGCCCAGGACCCCGGGGUCACGCCCUGGGGGAGCCCAUCAUGCUUCCACGCCUGGAACCUGUAAAGCGGCGAGCACGGGGGCCUGGCCCGACACUGAACCGGUGCACGGAUUCCCCCCGCCCACGGCCCUCGGCGAGCGCCCCCGCCCGCAGCGCCUUCUGCCCCGCAGGGGGGAUCAAGUUCUAGGGCCGAAGACAUGGAGAAUGACCAAGAAGCAAGAUGGGAAGUGUAAGCUGCCUCGGGAGGUUGCGCUUCCUGGAUCUCUCAUGCGUCCAUACAUCUAAGCGUUAAGAACUAACUUCCUUCAGAGGCUCCUUUCAAGAACGUUUACAGAAGCCAACGGCCUCGGAGAGCUGGACGGGGACUUCCUCUGGAGCAGACCCGAUUACAGGCUGAAGGACUUCAUUCUAGAAGGAUGCAGUGAGGUCAUAGGGUGAGGAGCAGGCCUGAAAUAGUUUCUGCGGGGAGUGUGCAAGAGAAUAAACCACAAAUGAGAAAAAGAACCAAGAAUGCUUCUUUCUACACAGACCCAACCCAUGGAGGAAGGGGGAUGGACAUUUUCAAAAUGUGCACCUCCGAAUCACUCCGUACCUGCAGGCCUCCUGGACCUAUGCAGGCCGAGCUCCACUGAGCCAGGGGUUAGGGGCGGUCCUAAAGGGUUUUGUCUACCUCCGAGUCACAGGCCACGGAUGCGGCUCCAAAUGCCCAGUCCUGCCUGGUCCCAUCACUGAGAAUCUCAAAUUGGCAUGGACAAGUGAAGCUCACAGUAGAGCCGACUCUUGGGUUUGGGAUCACAGUCUGUGACUGGCACCUCUCUGGUGGGCAAAGAGGAUUCAGCCAGGGUGAGGGUGGGGGUGGCAAUCUCUUGUCUCUACCGUCUCGCCUUCCCCCUUGCUCUCGGGGGGAGGACAUUCAUCUGCGCUGCCUCAGAGCUCCCCUCUGCCCAUCUCCACUCACGCCGGGAGUGCUGGACCAGGCCAGUGUCUUGCUUCCAGAGACAAAGUCGGCUGCUCUCGAGAAACUUCCAGCUUCCCCUAGAAGAAGCACGAUUCCAUAUGAACUACCAGUAUAUUGAGUGCUGACAACGUGUCUGAUGCCAUUACGUGCGUAGCAAACAUUAUCUUAUUUAAUCUAUUUAAUAAUUCUGUAACCCUGGGCAGUCGGGUCCUUUUUUUCUCUUUGGGCAGGUACUUUUAUCUUUUAUUUAUUUUUUUUUGAGAGGGGGGGCAGGUACUUUUAAUGUCUUCAUUCCCCACUUGGGGCUCCUAAGGCUCAGAGAGGUCAAAUAACUUACUGAAGGUCGCACAUCUGAGAUUUGAGCACAUGUCACUGGCCUCCAGAGCCCGUGGUCUUACCUGCUAUACCAUCCUGCCACCCUCUGCCCCUGCAAGUGGGCCUUUCCUGGUCAUCCAGGCCAGGUAAGAACCACCCUAAGCAUCAUUUACACUGGUUGCAAUUCCCUGUGCCCACUGCCACUACCACCACUGAUUUGGCUAGGAGAUUGGAGGCCUCCCUUCCUUCCUUCCUUCCUUUCCCCUUCAUUCUAGCACAGCAGUUCUUGUUUUUCUCUGGGGAGAAGCUAUGCCAGGAUGCCCCGGCACGCGAGACGUAAAUGUUUCAGGUGGAAGUGGAUUCGAAGCUUGGACAAUUCUUGCCGGCCACCGAGUGGGCGGGCAGCGGUCCCUCACUGAAGGGGCUGGAGGAGCCUGUACUCCUGGGCUCUGGGCUCCUCACUGUGAGGCCUUCAAGGGAAGACUCUCAGGCUCUGUGAGCUCACAGUCCCCGCGGCUCCAGGGAGCAGAACACUUCAAGCGGAGUCGGAACAGAAAAGUGACCUUUUUUUUUUUUUUUUAAGAUGUUAUUUAUUUAUUUUUGAGAGACACAGAGAGAAGCAGAAACACAGAGGGAGCCUGAUGCGGGACUCGAUCUGGGACUCCAGGAUCACGCCCUGAGGCAAAGGCAGGUGCCCAACUGCUGAGCCACCCAGGCUGGAGCGACCUGUUUUGAAUUGCGGGCCCCGAGGCAGCGAGAUGCAAGGGUUUCUGUGCAGGAGCAUUGGUUAGGAGGCCCUGAGUCCCGCCUUGAGGUUUGGAGGUGGUGGAUUUAUUUUCUGAAGAGACCACUGGACCCAGAGGGUAGGUCACGUCGACCACAUGGUACAAAGAAGGCUGCCCCCGGGGACGGGGACGGAAGGCGGCUAUUUGCAGUCAGGCCCUGAUUGCUUUUGGGGGGAGGAGUGAACAUUAUUGGCAAAAAGCCUAAGAAAGAAAAAUCUUUGGAAGCUGGAAAGAGAGCUGCUUUUAGUGGACUGGGGACUAGAGGUUGGCCAAGGCGGCUCCAGAGCCAGGGAUCCCAGAAGAUGAUGCCUCUUCCAGAAAGUUCCUGCCAGAGAAGAGAGUGAAGACUGAGUGACCCAAGGUGGGGUUGGGCUAGAGGCUUGUUGGCAGGUGCAGGACGCAUCCCUUCCACCCGACGUAUCAAACUGGAGCCCGCCUCAGGCCAGCUCAGGUCCUCUGCUGUACCCCCUGGGCUGCCCACCCUCCCUGCUCCCUGCAAAACUACCGCGUCCUCAGUUGGACUCUUAACAAUUGCUUGCACCUGUCUUGCUUUACUUUGCCUUAUAGUAUAAUUCAUUUUUGCGCCAUAAAUUAUACAUUUUCAAGAGAAUAAGCAUGUUGUAAUUAUUUCUCUCACGCCAUAGCGCCGGGCAGGCUAUGUAUACGUGGCAGUGGCUAAGUUAUGUGUGUGUGAGUGAGAACCAGGUGAGAAAGGGGGUGUGUGUGUUGAAGGUACUUACGGCUGAAGGAGAGAAAGAGAAAGAUGAGAGAAGAGGUGGGAGGGGGAGAAGACAGGAACCCAGGAAGCGAGGAAAUAAAUAAUCGUAAAUAACUGGGUAAAAGAUUAUAAUAACUGCCAAUAAUCGUUGUGUGUUUGCCACGUACCAGGUAUAGCAGCUGCCUGG